AGGCCUGUAGCUUAGGGGUCAGAGUACUACUUCGACAUGGUAGUGGUCGUUGGUUCGAAUCCAACCAGGCCUA
rnacentral:tRNA from 1 species